AAAGAAAAACUGAAUUUACUUCCUGCAAAAGUUUAGUAAGAUGUGGGAUACAAUUUAAACCUUACUUUAAAGACAAUUUCCAGGGUAGAGGACAGCAUUAUAGUAUUGUGCCAAAAGCAAGCUAAUGCAUAUGAGUGAUGCAGCAUCAGGUGGCUAAAAUAAUUACAUCCUCACCGGUUUCAACAUAUCAGAUCAGACAUCCUGGAUAUCUACCUUCCCUUGAUACACACUUAACAGUUCAGGUACUUUGCCAAGAUAUCCGUUCACAAAACUCUCCAAGAACUGCUUCUCUGCCGGUUUCAGCAGAGAACCCAGAUUCAAGUUCCCAUUUAUGAAACCUUUCGACAACAGAACUUUAACAACAGAGCACCUUGGGAUAAGUCUCUUCUCUAUACUGAGACCGAGGACCACAGGAUAUUUGGCAAUCAUUCCUGACGACCAUCCCAUCUUGUUCACUAAAAGAUCCAUUGCUUGCAUAAGUUUCUUCUCCGAGACAAUCAUAGACAGCGGGUUCUUCCUGAAAGCGGAGAGAAAAUCAUCCUCAGACCAACCCCAUGUCUUAAGAACUUCACGACUUCUAUUCAAUACCAACUUAUUCUUACCACACAAUGCACACAGGGCAUUCACUGAAGUUGAUUUUUCCAGAUUAAAUCCCAUUUCCUUAACCUCACCCACAAGUUGACCAAAUUUUUCAGGAUUUACCAUCAAAGAGGGAGUACAGUGAGCUAACAACAAAGAAAUGCAUGGUUGAGGCAUACCCGAUUCUCUCAAAAGCCCAAUAUUUGGAACAACAUGCUUGCGGUGACUUUCCAAGAAAAUCCAUGAGUUGCGUUUUAAAACAGCAACAACAUUUUUCUCAGAGAGCAUACUCCUGAGGAAGUUAUAAGUGGGCAAAAUCCGAUUUCUCAAGCUGGCUGCCAAAAGCUGUGGAUUAAAAGUCAGAGUUUUUAUAAGGUCCACCUUUGAAAUUUCAAGAGAGCUGAAAAACUCAAGCUUUGGCAAAAGGGUUUUCUCAGGAUCAGCUGAAAGAAGUUUUGGAUGUGACCUAAUAAGCUUUGAUAUCUGGGUUUGAGAUGCUCCAUAGUUUCUCAGAAGCUCUAAAACGGAGUCUGCUCUUUCUGGUGACUUCAACUCGACCCGCUUACAAGCUGAAAUCGCUCCUUCUGGGGACAACCCGCAAGUGUUUAUGAGGUAAGUGACUGUGAAAUUGUGUUGGUUUUCUGAGAUUUCUGACGUGAUGCGUCUGCAGAUCAACUGACUCUGAAGAGAAAAAUGUGAGGGUUUUGGAUCUCCAACCAACACUCUGUUUGUUUUGGAAGCAAAUGUACAAGAAAAUAUUGAGUGAACCAAUCUGAAGGUCUUCAAAUUGCAGAGUUGAAUCAUGUUAGAGGUUGAUGAUGAACAAUUUCUACAGGAAAACUUAAAGCCCUAGCUGAUUCUCUGCCUUCAGAAAAUAUGCAGUUCUCGGCAUUCUAAAAAGAUCUGAACCAUCCAAAUAAAAUUGCCUGGUAUAGGAUAAACCAUUGCAGCUAGGGUAAGUUUUCUUACCAUUUUCACAACUGACGGUCACUGGCUUACUGCUGCUAUCCAUGGCGGUAGGAAAUAUUCUGCCAGAAAAACCUCUUCAGUCUUCAUAGGUACAAAUCAAAGCAAAGCAAUUACUCCAAUCCCAGGCAAUAAGAAAACCCAAAAAAAGGGGUUGAAUUUCGAACUUAAAAACAGUCGAGGGCAUUUGUUUCUUUGGGACAAAGGGCGAAGAACAUUUGGGCGAUGAUGCUUUGGUUUAUAGACGCUCGACGUGGUUACUCUCAGGUGCGGCCCAGAAGCAAUUUGAAAGCCUCUUCUUGCAAUUGGAAUUUGGAUGUAUGAGUUAUUUACAUUUUACUGUGUGUUGUCAAAAUGCUUGAGGUUUUGAAAAUUACACCAACUUCUCCUGAAGUCUCAAAUUAUUCUCAUUAAAUCCGAUUUUGUUAAUUUUUCGUACAAAAGUUAAUGAUUUUAUAUAUAAUAAAGCUUACGCAAAUAACAAAUUUAAUUUCGGUUUGAUUAAAAGAAUAGCUUGUAAAAGGCUUGAAACUUAAGUGGUUAAGAGGAUAUAAUCCCGUCCUAAGUUCAAUUCCCUUCUACCGAAUUUCGCCUAUAAAAAUCGAAGUACUAAAUUUUUUAUUAUUUGAAGACAUUUUUUUAUAUAAAAUCAUCAAUUAUAGAAGGAAAAAUCAAUGGAAAAAGGUUUCGAGAAAAUAAUUUAAUACUUUAUGGAGUAUUUGUGUAAUUUUUGGAACUACAAAGGGUUUAGUAAAAGCACAAGUUUUAGUGUAAAUAACUCUGAAAUGUAUCCCCAUAAAAAAAAUUAUAAAAAAUUAAAAAAUUAAAAAAACUAUGAAAUGUAUAGUACAGUCCCGAUCUCUUGGACCACAGGAGUCCAAGAGAUUGUGGUCACCCACCGUUGGAUAUUAAUCCAAUGGUUCAAAAUGAUAUAUAUAAAUGCAAUAUGACAUAAAUGAUUAUUACCCGAUUCAAGUCAACCGUUGAAUUUACAUCUAACGGUGAGUGACCAUAACUCUCUUGGACUACAGGGGUCCAAGAGAUCAGGACUGAUGUAUAGUAUACCCGUAAGAUUUUAUUCUUCUAUUUUUGUACAUUAAAUACUUGUUUAUCCUUUUUAUAUUUGAAUCUGUUGAGUAAAUUGCCUCAUUAAUUUUUUAUUAACUUUUUUUAAUGUGAGCGUGUCAUUGUUAGCAAAUAAUACCCUAUGAAUUUGAAUGACUUUAUACACUUGAGCCCCAAGUAAUAGACUUUAAACAAACGAUUGUGAUUUUGGAUGGGGGAACCUCCUAAGAGAGUUCUUUUCUAUCCCUCAGACUGGUGAGGACUUCACAAUUUAUCUAGACAAAAAUGGUAAGUAAAGCAAAAUACAUAAUUUGUGGUGAAUAUAACAGACUAAUCCAAGCAGAACUGCCUUAAGCACAAAGCAUAAAAUGAAUUGCUAAAUCUAGACGGGUGUCAAAUUGUUGUACUUUGACUUCUACUUAAAAAUACAAUCAAAAUGAUGUUUUAAGGUCAGGCUGGACUGGAUAUUUCUGCACUGAAAUUGCACGUCAAUAUCUUCAACAAACAUAGAUUAGUUGGAAAUCAAUACCAAUGUUGGUAUUGGCAGAGCUAUAAACAAGUUGAGCCAAUAUGUAGGCUGGAAAAGUGAGCAGAACUACAGGCAAGUACCUGUUCUAGUUGGUUGUGUAUGAUGUGGAAGAUUUCUAGACAAUUUUAAGACAUUGAGGUAUCUUUAUAAACUUGUUGAGGUUUUCAUAUGAUGAAAGACCUGACUUCUAUUUGUGUUAUCUUAUUUGCUUUGUAACACCCCGACUCCAAAAUUAAUGUCUAUUUUAAUUGAUUUAAAUUAAAUUACGAAUUUACCCUUGGGGUAGGGGUAAAUUGGUCAUUUUCUUAUCCGGAAGGAUUUUGGGACCACGAAUGGUAUUUUUGGGUAUGUGGUACUGAGACGAAUUCGUAAACACGCGGUAGGCUUGAAUCGGAGCUGUAACGAAAAUGUUACGAUCAAAACAUUAUCAGUGGCAAACUUGUAAAUAUUUCAAAAAAGUUUGAUAAAAAUCAGAUUUUUUCACUUCAGCUCUCUCUCUCUCUCCUCGCACGCACUCGACUCUCUCUCUCCUCAGUCUCUCUCUCUCCCCGACACCAACACACUCUCUCUCUUCGGUUCUCUCUGCACCGGCCACGGCCAGGCACGCCACCAGUCCCGAUCGAUUCGCCUCGAUGUCCCGAUCAAGUCUAGCCGAUUUUCCCCAUCGGAAACCACGAACUCCGGCCACGAGCUCGACUGGUUUGAACCAGAGCUUUCCGAUCGUCGCGCCGCCUCCUCCGCCGCCCAAACCUGGUGAGUGAGGUAUGGUUUCUCAUCCUUUUUCCGAGUUCUAGCUGAUUGUUGUAUAGGUUUGGACCGAUUUGUUGUCUAGAAAAUCGAUUAGAAAACUUAGGUUUUGGCCGGAUUUCAAAGUAAAAUUCCGGCCAGUUGCCGCCCGAAUUGGACCUUCCCUUAGUUGAAUGAAGUGAUCCUGACCUUGAGUAAAAGCUAGGAUAUGAAGGGUGAGCUCGGGUGGAGUUUUUCCGUUAUCGGAAUUACUCUGCACACCCACGAGCUGCCGGCGCCUGUGGCUGCGCGUGGGCGAGGCUGGUAAAGAUGCAAUUUUACCCGAUGAGAUCCUUAUGUUGUCACGAGCGUAUAGAAAUUCACGGAUCUCAAUUCGGAUGUCGUUUGGCUAUCGAACGAAUUUUCGCAUAUUGUGAGUUAUUGGGUUCGAUAGGUUCCGACCAUUGGAUCUUUUUCAAAUUAAAAUAUGUUGUUCUAGGUAUUCCUAGGACCGUAUGGGACUUCACGGAUUAUGAAUCGGGGCCCUGGAUGUUUCGAUUCAAUAAUGCAAAGUUGGCUGGUUAGCGAUAACCGUAAAAAUCGUGAACGAUUCCUAAACCUGUAAUAGGACCUUAGGAUACCUUCUUCAACGUGCACGUAUUGGGAAUUUGGGGAUUUAAGCAUUUAAUUUGUGAUUUCCACUUCGAUGUAAUUUUAUAUUAAUUAAGGUUCGUAUCUCGAAAUAGGUGUUUCGACUGCACGUACUCAGCAAGCAGGACCCUCACGUGGUCAGGCAGCGUGGGAAUAUUUGUGAGUGGACUUUGUUUUCAAUCAAUGCAUGGUUUUAUUGAUGAAGGAUUUUUGCAUAAUGUUUUUAUGGCUUAUUGAAUAUAUUAUAUUCAUGAGAUGAAUUUGAUGUUGUAUAGCGCGUUGGCAAUAUAUUGUGAGUUUGGCAUUUUGGGUAUUGAGAGUGUAUUUUUAUAAGGGUUGUGGGGAAGUAUAUGUAUAUUAUUCUCUAUAGACGAGAUACUUGGGUUGUUGAAGGGUGUUGUGGAAGAACUUGAUUAUGAUGGGUUGUUGAGAGAAGUUGUAUGAUUAUACUAUGUAAGUACCUUCCCCAAGUAUUAGACUUUUCACACGCGGCGUUGGAUGUUCCGGCGUGUAGGAAGAAUAGGUUACCCGUCUCACUCGUGGCGUUGGAUGUUCCGGCGUGUGAGACACUUUCCAUAUGCGGCGUUGGAUGUUCCAGCGUAUGGAAAGACUCUGUAUAGUGUUUAGGGUCAUCACCCAUGGCGUUGGAUGUUCCGGUGUGUGAUGAUCCAGUCUGCGCACGUAGGACUUAGUUUGGGAGCCACACAUGGCGUUGGAUGUUCCGGUGUGGGAGCUUUAGAGUUUCGUCCCCCGGUUGGACCGCUCAUCCCUAGACGCAGGAUAGCACCUGGAAAUCCUGCGAACUAGUCAAACGAUUCCCUAGUUGGAUUGCUUCCCCGGUACCUAGGUAGUGUGAUGAGUAUAUCGUAUAGCUAGUUAUAGUUAUAUUCUUAUAUAUAUAUAUAUAUAUUUAUAUUUAUAUGUAUAUGUAUAGUUGAGUGAGUGAAGAAUUAGAGUUUUUCAGUGGUUUGGCAAGAGUUGUAAAAUUGAGAGAAUGAGGUUUUUGAAGGAGAUGAUUUGUAUUAUGAAGAGUUUUAAAUGAAUCAUGUUUUGAGUAAUUAAUUUGAAUUGUGAACCUGCAUGACUAGAGCAUUAUUUUUACAUGGUGGGGUUAUUAUAUUAUUUUUAACUGCGAAUUUGGUUUUUGUCCACUCACAUGUUUUCUGUUUUGCGCCCCCCAGCCAGUAGUCGCUCUAGGAAGCGUGCAAGUGGUGUUCGAGGCUCGAACUGUGAAUCUUCCUAGUUAGGAAUUGAGUAAUUUCUUCUACUCAACUGUUCUUGUAAUCUAAAUUCAAUAGAUGCUCUAUUAUCGCCCAUGGUAGAUUUUACUUGUGAGGCCGGAGGCCAUUUUAGUAUGACUUGUUGAAUUAUGAAAGCAUGCUGCUGGUUGGGAUUUUUAUUUGAUGUGCGUUGCAGGUUGAAAUUUUUUGUUAGGUUUGCUUAAAUUACAGGGGAGACUCUGCCAAAAUUUUUGGUAGAAAGUCUCGAUUUCUUAGUAAGUGGGCCCGGCAUCGGGAAGAUGUCGGAACAAAGACGGGGUCCGCUUCGGUUUCCAGGAAAUUCCGGGGCAGGUCCUGUCAUGCUGAACCAAAUUUGUAAGAGAAUUCAAUCCAUUAUAAGUUAUGAUUGAAAUACAUUGUUAUAUUGCAAAAAGAAUCUCGUCUUCUUUUUGGCUGUCUGAGAUUUUGUUUGAGUUGGGUUGCUUCCUAUAGAAGAUUGCUUGCUUGCCUUUGAUAAUUGCAAGAUCAUUUGAUCUUUGAUUUCUUUUGAUCAGUCUAGACUGAUUGUUGAGUUUUUGUUUGAUUGGUUGGUUGGUUGGUUGGGUCCCCUCUCCAAUCCAUGCAUUCUUGUAUUUAUAAGAGAAAAAUGAUGAUGAAGAUUGUUAAGCUCAUAAUUUCAUGCAUAUACAUGCCCUAUUUACUCACUCAUUUUGCUUAGUUUCUUAGAAUUUUAGGCCAAUAGAGCGAAAGAGAAUAAUUCAUGCAAUUCAAGCAUGUUAAGGCCAGAUUGGGAUGAAUGGAAGAAGAGCUUAAAGACAAACUCAUUUUGGCUACAGGCCCUCGCCAGUCCAAUUUCGUAAGUCACAUUGCAAGACUUGUUUCAGCAAACUACACAACUCAAAUGAGGCAUACUUCUGCAUGAAAGUUGUUCCAAUGGUUGUCUAUUAUAACAUAUCCAAAAUUCAGCCCUAUUUGAUAAAUCUGGAGUCCGUCACCUAUCAAACACAGAACCAUGCUCAGGAUGGAUUUUGUCAACGUGCCAAAUGACAUGUGGCUGAAAAGAAGACAUUCUGAACUUCAAGUUUGUGGGCUCAAAGUCAUCAUUUGCUUAAGGGUAGCCCAAUUCGUAAGCCUUGAAGUUGCUGGUCAUGCUAACCUAAGGAUGAGCUAAGUGUGCUUGGUCAUAAUGACAUAAGCAUGAGGUGUUAUUGAUUGUGGGGAAGUUAGGUGAAGCAUAUGCAUUUCUUAUAUUUGAGUGGAGUUUUGCAGCAGCCAAAGGGAAUAAAACAAGAUGAAGUGGGAGCUGCAAUACUAAGCCUAAAGAGAAGAAGAACUGUUUUCAAAUGCAAGUGUGUUUUAGGUGAAAUAGGUGUGGUUAGUGAACUUACUUGUAUAAUCUGAUUCACUUAACCCUUAUACCUAUAAAUAGAGAGUCUCCAAAGAGCUAUGUAGUCAAGAAAAUUCAAAUCCAUCAUUUACACUUACAUUGUACACAAAGAGAGGAAGAGUUAAGAGUCACAAAGGGAGAGAAGAGAAAAGGCAGCAGCUGGGAGGCUUUGGCCUCCUGGCAGCCAUGGAGAUAAAGCUUUUCCAUCUCUAGCAUGAUGUCCCUAUCUUUUUCUCCUCCCUUUGUCUUUUAUUUUCUUCUUGUAUUUCCUUAGCUUUACUUUGUUUUUCUGUCAUUAGUUAAUAAACAUCUUGCUAGUCUUGUAUCAUGGUUUGAGUUUAUAAAGUUUGAUUUCAUUCAUGAAUUCUUCUUCACUGUUUUAAUGGAGCUAUUUUGCAUCCUUUGAUUGAUCACCUGAGGAUUUAUGCAUUUUGCUCUUGUUGGUUGAUUGAUCACCUGAGGAUUUAUGCAUUUUGCUCUUGUUGGGAAGGUUUGGGGAUCAUCUUCAUUCCAUCCAUUAGCAACUCAUAUGAUUUGGUUUCCAGGACGCCUAAUGUAAACACAAUGCUUUGGGGUCCUUGUGAUGUUCAAUGCAAUUUGAUCCAAACUGUUUAGGCCAAAAUUCUACCCGUCAUCCCAUUUUUGUCGAGAGGCCCAUGAACCAAACAUUUGGGCUUUCAUCUAUAGGAAUCAUAAGGAAAAAAACCAAGACACUAGAAAAGCCCAGAUCCUUUUGAACAAAUUACAAAAGCAGCCAUGAUCUGAAAAGAAUAAACUACUAUUAUUUACAAUUAAAGAGCCGAUACACACAGUGUUGGAUAAAUGCCCAACUUCUGAGAAGAUCUCACCACUUGGUCUCUAUCCCAAAAAGCCAAAACAGCAUAUCUUUUUCUCAAGGAAGCGCCAGCGUGAAUUUCUGACUUUGAAAAAGUCAAAAUUUUCAACUAUCACAGAGGAGUUGAUAAGGAGUUAAUGAAGGCAGGUUUUACAGGAAGACUUCUCCAUUGUUUGCAGCCAAAGAAAGAAGAUCAAAAUCCCUUUUUAUAAACAGAGAAACUCUACACUAAAGCAGGUGACCUUUCCAAGAGAUAAGCAGACUACAUUCUCAAGAGAUAAGUAGGGAGCAAGGGAGUUGUUCAACAGGAAAAGCAAACUGACCAUCAUGACAAAUUGUGUAAUAACCCAAACCUUAAUUAAUAUUUAAUUAUUAUUUUAUUAGAAGGAAAUACAAUUUUGCCCUUGGAAUAAUUUAUUAAAGAAAAGUUAACUUUUUGACAGAGAAAGAAUUUGACAAUUCCACACACACCGUUGCGUAAAGCGCGACGAAAUGAGUCCGUAGACACGUAGCAAGCUUAAAUCGGAGCUUUAACGAAGAAAAUAUGGUCAAAAUACGUAGAGGGGCAAAAUGAUAAUUUGCAAAGUCAGAAUUUUAAAACCCCAAUUCUCUCUCUAUCACGAUCUCUUCUUCCCCUGGUUCGAAAACCCCCCAGCCGAACCUCCAUAACUACCCAGCCACUGCCACACCUCGCCCCGACCCACCAGACUGGACCUAAUCGCACCAGCGUCAGCUCCGCCGCCAAGCCCGACCUUCCCUGCCACUCGGCUGUCACGGUUUCGUAGGAAAAAUUGAAAAUUUCAUCCGGUUUAGUUUGAAAUUUCACAGCCGUCGAUCUCCGUAUUCUGACCACCAAAUUGGACGAUAAAGGUAUGGACCCUUACCUAUUUUUCAUGACUUAGCUGUUGGUUGGGUAGGAUUGAACGAUUUCUAGCCUAGGUAGAUCAAACCACAAUCCAAAGCUCGGUCGGUUUUGAGAUUGAAAUUUCGGCCACUUUCGGCUAGUUUUUGGGGUACGUCCAAGAACAAAAGUGGUUCCAAAUAGGUUGUUUUACAUAGAGUAGGAGUUUGGGCCGGUGGUUUGGAGUUUUUCCGACUGCCAGAAAUUUAUCAAGCCACCCACUCACUGCCGGCGCGUGUGGCGGAGCGUGGGCAGUUUAGUGGAGACCACAUUCAGUCCUAGAAUGAUCCUCGUGUUGUCAUGAGCGCGUAGGAAUUCGCAGAUCUCAAUUCGGAUACCGUUUGAGCCUCGAACGGAUUUUGCAUAUUGUAUGAUUUCCGGGUUCAAUACAAUUGAGCCGUUGGAUCGUAAUCAUUUUCAGAUAUCUUAAUCUACACAAUUCCAGGAUCGUUUAGGAUUUGACGGAUCGUGAAUCGGAGUUCCCAAUACUCCAAAAUCGCGAACCCUAGGGCUAGGGUUUUAGAAAUCAUUCGAUUGUAUGAUCGUGAUCAAUCCGACCGUCCGAUCGAGAUCAAACUCUCAGGACAUGUGUCCUGGGUAUAUUGGAACUUCUAGAGGCUUAUGGAUCAUAAUUUUGUGGUCGAACGUGCACAGGGUCUGGCUCGGAUUCCAAAAUGGAAUUUGGGUCGGGUCCUAUCCAAUUGUGUCUUUCCUUCUUUACAAGGAACAAAUAGAGAACAAAAGGAGUUGAUUUUCUUUUUGGGAAAAGCAAGGAAAAGAUCACCAUGGGAACUUAUUAUUGAUGGUUCUUCUCUGCCAGAAUAGAUAGCUUCCCCUUUUUGUGGCAUUUAAAAAGAAAGAUCUUUUGAAAAGAUUUGCCGUCCAUUAUUCAAAGAUUAAAAACCUUACUCCAGCAUUUCCUAUAAAAUAAGAGAGAGGGUGAACAGAUGAAGGACAGCCUAAAAAUCAAUCAAGAUAAAAACUCUCAAAGUCAUAACUGACAAACUCAAAAUGAUCAAUUGAUCUUAAAAGCCUUCAAACACUGAAGUGACCAAAGCUCAUCGAGCCACAAGAAACAAAUCAACUAUAAUUCAAAUCUCUGUUUUCGGUUCAGUCAGAGAAACUGUUUUACAAAGCGAGAUUUCUCUUGUUACAAAUUUGGUUCAGCACAAAGCCAAGUCAAGCAGAGUCAGGAUUUUUCACAAAUAUGAAAACCUCAACAAAUUUACAGAAAGCCUUGGUCAAGCAGGACAGGCACCAUAGUGCAGUUCCAGCUCAGUGACCAUCAAUCGAGCCACUUUUGUUCUCUUCAGACUGGAGAUGCCUCAAUUCAACCCUUUCAACAAGCCUUCCAUGGCUCGAAAUAAAUUGAAGCUCUGCCAAACUCAAAUGUCGGUAUCCAUUUCCAGCUAAAACUCAUCAGUUGAAGGUGUUGACGAUCCAAUCCAACACAGACACAUCCAAUCCAGCCCAGUUCAGAAGCAGCUACCCAGGCAGAAAUUGAAGUCGAACGCUCUGCUGUCUAUUCUGGAGUUGGCUUUUUCUCUUUCUGAGCUUUGUAAUGAGCAGUUCUGCCUAAACAGUUUACUUUCUUUUCAUUUAUUCUGGCCAAAACUACCAAUUUUGUACUGUGAAAAAUUAUGAAGUUCUCACCAGUCUGAGGCGAGAAAAGAACUUAUUUGAGAGAUAUUCCUCACCCAAAUUCACAAUUGCUUGUUUAAAAGUCAGUAACUUGGGGCGCAAGUUAUCUAUUUUUUAGAAGUCUGCUAGGGUUUUGAACUGCUAGCAGUGGCACGCUCACGCACAAAAGAAAGUUGAUUUGUUAACCACUAAUGGUUGUCAAGCCAAUGGGGAACUUUACCAUACCAUCACAGGAUUAAAAUCAAAACGGGUGAACACAAACACCAUGGACUUAUUUGUGAGGAUCGUCAUGAUUGAAUCAAUUUUUUUACUUGCUGCCAUAACGUGAUUAGAACAAUUAGGGUGGAUUCUAAAACCUCACCAUCUUGUCUUAGUUCUUUUCUUUCUUCUUCUUUUGUGUUCUUUUGUGUUCUUUUGUUUUCAUUUCUGUUUUGUGUAGGAAAACUGAAUUGGAUCAUUCAAUCAUCAAUCCCUGUGAAAUUGACCUUGCACUUACAUAUGCUAAACUACCAACGACUCGUGCACUUGCGAGUAUCACAAGUUGAGGAUGCAGCUGAAUCCAUUAUGGUGCAGCGUUGAAUCGACGCAACAAAGAUAUGGAUUUUUUUUUUUAAAAUUUUGGACUAGCCCCCAUUUCAUGCAAAAGUGGCAAAAGUUUUGUCAUUCCAAUGCAUUGAUCGUUUUUGGCACCUGCUCAUCAAUACUCCUGAAUGUCUCCUAAUCAUUCCUUUUGCAACAACUAGACUGAAGCAAGCAAUAAUUUCUAGAUUCCUCCAAUGUUGGUACCAUAAAUAACCAAAUACUCUUGGAAAAGAAAAAAUCCGAUGAUCAUAUAAUAAAUAGCCGUGAUUCUCAAGCAAGUCUAACUUUUACUUUUCAACUUUUAAGGUCAUCAAUUUUCCUUGUAGUUUAGUCACGAACGAUGAGGAAAUAUCCUUAAAAACUUUAACAGCUAAGAAAUUGUGAAUUUUGGACUGAAACUAAUUGAAAUAAUUUGAUUCUUGGAUUAAAUCACCACUUGUGGUAAUUCAUUUACCAAUUUAUCAAAAAAUCAUGAAUUAGUUAAAUCCCCCUUUGGCUAAAUAGUAAGGACUAGUCACCAUUUUUGAUAAACACAGCCCAACGUUUUGUAAAAUGAACCCAAUAAACCAUUUUGGCUAGCUCGUAGGAUUUAAGCCCAAACAAUACCUGUUCGGCUAGAAUUUUAAAAAAAACAAAUUAUUUUAUUAUUAUUCUAUUUUUGAUAAGAUUCUAGAAAUUUGUCUAAUCUCAUACCGGAUGUUUUGGGGGCACUUUUUUAUGCCAUGCGUUCUCUGAUGUGCAUUCAGGGGCUUAAUAAAAUAGUCUCACUUCGUCAUCUUUUUAUCGCACAAACACGUAUUUGCACAUCAAAAUUCAACACUUCGGUAUUUCUCUUCCAAUUUCAACCAUAAUUAGUAUUGUCUCAAAAUGACUUCAAACAUGACUCCAAAAGGCAUCGAUGCAUAGUGACUUGGAACACAAUCCUAAAACGUGUUAGUUGCUUGAUCCGAUCAUCAAUUUCAUUCAGAGUGACGAUUUUUUUUUUUUUCAACAACUCUUCUACAACAUUUGACCAUUUUUUUCUUGUUGAAAGUGACAAGUUUUGUCGACUUACAAAAAAAACUAUGCCAAAAUGGUAAUACUAAAGUCCUUAUCUAACCCCUAUAUCUCUUCAAUUGAGAGAUUUUUGGGGUUGACCCUUGUAGGAAGCAAGUGUUGGGUUCUUCAAAGACUAGGUAGAUAGAUAAUUCAAAAUUUUACCCAAUUUCUUAGGAUUUGGAUUUCAGCAAAGUGUUUGAUAGCAUUCUUGCCCUCCACGAAUGCUGGUCUAAAGAAUUUUAAUCGGGGGAAAGAAAACCCACACUCCAACAAAUAUUGUGUUUGAACAUUAAAGACUAAAAAAAUGUGUUUUAGCUAUAAUAUAGAAGAAGCCAGAGAAAAAAAAUUUAGCCCAGCCCUAUAUAAAUUCCUUUAUUCCGCCCUUGUUUGGGUGGGAUGAGAAAAUUUGUGUUUGAAAGGGGGAAUGGAGGAAGGGCCUGUAAAGAGGGAAGGGGGAUUGGAUUUCAAGGUGAGCGGGGUUAGUUGGAGCCACCGGAGGUGCACAGAUGAUGGGGUAAGGUGAUAUUUUUUUUAUUUUCAAUUUUAUUUUUUUAUAAUGAAUUUUCUAUUUUUAAAAUACCCUUGAAAAUGGAAAGACUAAAAUACCCUUAAAUAUAGAUGGAAAGUUGGUGUUAAAGUGAGAUGACAAAUCAUGAAUUUUGAAAAAUUAAGAUGUCAUUUCUCUUAAUUUUUUCUUUAAAAUGACAACUUGAUUUCAAGAUAUAAGUUCAUGUGACAUUUUAAAAAAUAAUAAUAAUAAAUUGCAUAACAUCAGAUUUUUUUUUUUUUUAUUUAAUGCAAAAAAAGGGAAAUUACAAGCAAAAAUCACGCGAACACGCAGUCCCAAACAAGUUGAAAAAGAAAGGAAUCGGACAAUUCAAAGGCAGACCCGCAUCCCAUAACUCUAUGACUAUUGCACCAAGUAAAAGGAAUGCCAGCAGCACAAGAGAAAUAAUUUCACCAUCAUUAAUAAAGCCAUUAAAAUCUGCCAAAGCAGACAUCAAAUGAGUGUAACCACCUAAUUUCUCACUAGGGGCGCAUAUAUUAUUAAAGUCCCCCAUAAGAAUCCAAGCUUCAGAAGCCGCAUGUUUGAGGCCAAGGAUAUCAAUCCACAGCUGAUGUUGUUUUUGUUUCUAGGGAUAAGCAUAGACAAAAGUAGCUUUCCAAUUUUUUUGGUCAAUAAGAUCUUGAAUGUGGCAGUGAAUGAAACGCUCAUGGGAAUCUAAAAUGGUUAUAUUAAUAAAAGAAGGAUUCCACAAUAAGAAUAUCCAUCCACAAUGACCAAGGGCAUGGAUACAAAAGAAACCAUCAAAACCAAGCCUCUGAGCAAUAACCUCAGCUCAACCCUAGAGGCUCUGGAAUCCAAAAUAUAGAAAACAUUCAAACUAGACGUACUAAUAUAAAAAAGGGCUUGCAAAAUAAAGCCAGGCCAACCACUGCCUUGGCUAUUCCAGAAUAACAUCUUCAUGGAUUGGGGCUAGGGGUGUUACCAACCAAGGGUUCAGUCUCCCUCAGAUACUCUCCAUGCAUCUCAACACUUGGAGCAUAAUUCUCUUCCACUUCCACCUCAUCACGAGUUCUCUUCUUAGGACUCUUGUAAGCGAAACCAGUGAAGGCACUGCUGCCUUCUUGGGAAUGAGCAGGGGCAAUCACAACAGCCCUACCCUUCCCCUUGCUAAUAUGGUCAACUGGAGAAAACUUAACCCCAACAUCACGAGACCCACCUCCUUCAGUAAAUUUGAUUCCCUUAGCAACUUCUUUAAAAGUUCUCCUAUCCCUUUCUUGCAUUUUGGCUUUGCCUUUACGGUUAGCCACAACCGUCCACCCUGGGUCCUAUACCUCAGUGGGCACCUUCUCACCCUGGUCAGAAUUUUCCUCUGCAAAAUAGUCCACAGUUAUAGGCUGUGGGAACACCAGUAUGACAUCAUCAGCUAGUUUUUGUUGCUCUUCAAACUCAAGGACUCAUUCCCUAAGGAACACAUUAGGUUCGUUCUCUAAUAUUUCAACCUGCAUGGCCACAUAUCUUUCCGGCUAAGGAGUGGGAAACCUUUCUCUUGUUACAUGAAUCCAAUUUUCAUUUCACCUGGGAAAAGCCAUCAGAAAGCUUUUGUUUGAAAUUUUGAUAGGGCAAAUGUGAUCGCGCUCCAUCUUCUGGCUACAAUAGAAACAGAUCGCAAAAAGGGCUUCAUAGCUAACAAAUAUUAUGGUUUCCUGGGGAUGCUCACCCAGAACUAGGCAUCUUUUUAGGGGCCUAGUUAGGUCUAACACAAGGUGAGCUCUAACAAACAUAAUCUGUUUACCCUCUGUAGACUGCAGGUCCACACUAAUAGGAUCUCCAAGGAUAGAGACCAAAUCAUAGAGAACCUCAGGGUCUUUGUAAUGGAGGGGCAGAAAGGGAAUUCUGACCCAGCCCACAAUGGAUGUCACAACAGCAUAAAAGGGUGAGAAAUCUGGGGUCCAGCGCUGCAGGUUAAAAAUCUGACCUUGGACAAACCAGGGUCUGUUAUCCAAAACGAAAAAAACAUCAACUUCAGCAUUGAACUCCACCUUAUACCAGUCUCGACCAAUAUGGUCAAUAGAGACCUCACCCUGCAGGUUCUUCCACUCACUCUUGAGCCUAUGCCUGAUAACUCUGCUAUUCACAGGAACUCCAAAGACUUUCCCUACCAAGCAGAAAGUCUCAUUGAGUUUGGACACUAGACGCAAGAGCAGAGGUGGAGACUUUGGUUUCAUUUCUUUCAAUCCUAAAGGUAAAUAUGCCCUUGUGUAACACAGAGGGUUCCACAGAAGACCUACUCCCCAAUCUGGGAGAAGACGUCGGACUCAAACUACGGGAUUUCGCCCGUGAAGAGCUAGCAUUAAGUUGAGCACUCAUGGUUGGAUGAGAGGAAAGUGAGCAAGGGCAACAGGUAUUAAGAGGAAAUUUAGAAGGUGAGAGUACGCGGUGGAGAUAUCUGGUUUUAAUUUUCUUAUAAAUAGCCAGUAUGAAGCUCUCAAAAUGAUUACAAACAUAUCCAAACCUCCAAUGCAUGCAAAGAUGAAGAAAGGGGAAAGAAGUUAUCUGACCAGAGUUGCUAAAAUCAGCAUCGAGCACCUCCCAAAUCAUCAGCAUCAAAAGGGGUUUCCAAUUUCUGGGGUAAUGAUUUAGUCUGAGACGAUCCUGGCCAUUAGAUUGAAAAAAGAAUGCAAGAUUAGAGUGAAUGAAAUUAAUGCAAGAUAGAGGACGAAGCAAAUUGCAAAAAUUGCACUUCCCAAAGGGAGUUCAUCAGCUGAUGCAUCGUAAAUCUCAAACGACUUCUUUUUAGCGCCACCUUGUGGUUUGGAUGAUGGAUCAACAAUCAUUUCGCAACCCAAUCACGGCAAAAGCUUUGGGGAGAAGAACCGAUUCAAAGUCUUCCCAAUACAAACAACCAUAGCUUCAGACCAACUUUUAGAUGUAAUAAUUGAACCCGCAAGCUUCACUUGAUCAUCCCUUUGAGCUUUUUGUCUUGCCUUUUUCUUCCUUCUUUUCCAAUUUCCCACCCUCUCAAGGACUGCCCUAAUCCCCUUUUUGCUCUCGUUCUUCAUUUUUCUGAAUUAAUUCAAUCAAUUCAAAAAAUUCAUUUCCAGGCACUUAUUUUUUCAUGGCUUGGGGGGCAAUGAACUAAGAAUCAAUCCUUGAAAACUAUAAACCAAGUAAAGAAUAAACAAGGCCUCUUUUUAUAUUUUGGCGAACGAAGAGAAGUACAUUGAACAUAAAUUUAUUCCAAAAAAACAGUGAAAUUGUUCCUUGACCUCCCUCUUGAGAUCCACACAUCUUUGCACAUCUAUUAGUGCGGGAUAGAUUCAUCCUAAAGACAACAAUUGCCAAACCACCCUACUUUGCAACUCCAUCAGAGCCGAGUUUUAUGUCCCCUGAAUUCCCAAUUCCUUAAGCAUUGCAGAUAUCGCAUUCCUAAUCGUUAAGGUCUCGGUAAAAAAGCUAACACAAGAGAAGACAAUGAGAAAAUGAUGCUUAUCGAGUCCUUCGAUGCCAUGUUGACAUGAUUACAUAUGAAUCUAAUCAAUCAUUGACACUGAAGUAGUUCCUAUAAACCAACCGUGGCCGCUUAAGUAGGCUAGCUGCAUCUCAGAGGACAAUAACUCAAAGAGCAAGGGAUAAAGGAUUGAGAGUCAUUCUUAUCUUUUGAAAAAUGGACAGAAAUUAGCUUCUUCCACUCCUCAACCAAAAUACAAUACAUUGUACCCUAAUAGAAGCAUUAUAUGCGCACAUUCUACAAAAUCAACUUUCAAGGGUAACCAAAGUCGGGAACCAUAAACAGAAGAAAUUCUAGCGACUCUACGGCAGGCAUUUGUUCUAAUAAGAAAGCAUAUAUAAAUCUAAUUAAAAACAGGUAGGCUGCCGAGUAGAAGAAUAAAAAACUGAAUUUACUUCCUGCAAAAUUUUAGUAAGAUGUGGGAUACAAUUUAAACCUUACUUUAAAGACAAUUUCUAGGGUAGAGGACAGCAUUAUAGUAUUGUGCCAAAUGCAAUCUAAUGCAUAUGAGUGAUGCAGCAUCAGGUGGCUAAAAUAAUUACAUCCUCACCCGUUUCAACAUAUCAGAUCAGACAGACUGGAUAUCUACCUUCCCUUGAUACACACUUAACAAUUCAGGUACUUCGCCAAGAUAUCUGUUCACAAAAAUCUCCAAGAACUGCUUCUCUGUUCGUUUCAGCAGAGAACCCAGAUUCAAGUUCUCAUUUAUGAAACCUUUCAACAACAGAACUUUAACAACAGAGCACCUUGGGAUAAGUCUCCUCUCCAAACUGAGACUGAGGACCACAGGAUAUUUGGCAAUCAUUCCUGACGACCAUCCCAUCUUGUUCACUAAAAGAUCCAUUGCUUGCAUAAGUUUCUUCUCCGAGACAAUCAUACACUGCGGGUUCUUCCUGAAGGCAGAGAGAAAAUCACCCUCAGACCAACCCCAUGUCUUAAGAACUUCGCGACUUCUACUCCAUACCAACUUAUUCUUACCGCACAAUGCACACAGGGCAUUCACUGAAGUUGAUUUUUCUAGAUUAAAUCCCAUUUCCUUAACCUCACCCACAAGUUGACCAAAGUUUUCAGCAUUUGCCAUCAAAACACGGGUACCACGAUUUAGCAAAGAAGAAAUGCAUGGUUGAGGCAUGCCCAAUUCUCUCAAAAGCCCAAUAUUUGGCACCACAUGCUUGCAGUGACCUUCCAAGAAAAUCCAUGAGUUGCGUUUUAAAACAGCAACAACAUUUUUCUCAGAGAGCAUACUCCUGAGGAAGUUAUAAGUGGGCAAAAUCCGAUUUCUCAAGCUGGCUGACAAAAGGUGUGGAUUAAAAGCCAGAGUUUUUGCAAAGUCCACUUUUGAAAUUUCAAGAGAGCUGAAAAACUCAAGCUUUGGCAAAAGGGUUUUCUCAGGAUCAGCUGAAAGAAGUUGUGGAUGUGACCUAAUAAGCUUUGAUAUCUGGGUUUGAGAUGCUCCAUGGUUUCUCAGAAGCUCUAAAACGGAGUCUGCUCUUUCUGGUGACUGCAACUUGACCCACUUAGAAGCUAAAAUCGCUCCUUCUGGGGACAAUCCACAAGUGUUUAUGAGGUAAGUGACUGUGAAAUUGUGUUGGUUUUCUGAGAUUUCAGAGGUGAUGUGUCUGCAGAGCAACUGACUCUGAAGAGAAAAAUGUGAGGGUUUUGGAUCUCCAACCAACACUCUGUUUGUUUUGGAAGCAAAUGUACAAGAAAAUAUUGAGUGAACCAAUCUGAAAGUCUUCAAAUUGCAGAGUUGAAUCAUGUUAGAGGUUGAUGAUGAACAAUUUCUACAUGAAAACUUAAAGCCCAAGCUGAUUCUCUGCCUUCAGAAAAUAUGCAGUUCUCGGCAUUCUAAAAAGAUUUGAACCAUCCAAAUAAAAUUGCCUGGUAUAGGAUAAACCAUUGCGGCUAGGGUAAGUUUUCUUACCAUUUUCACAACUGACGGUCACUGGCUCACUGCUGCCAUCCAUGGUGGUAGGAAAUCUUCUGCCAGAAAAACCUCUUCAGUCUUCAUCGCUACAAAUCAAAGCAAAGAAAUUACUCCAAUCCCAGGCAAUAAGAAAACCCAAAAAAAAGGGUUGAAUUUCAAACUAAAAAACAGUCGAGGGCAUUUGUUUCUUUGGUACAAAGGGCGAAGAACAUUUGGGCGAUGAUGCUUUGGUUUAUAGACGCUCUACGUGGUUACUCUCAGGUGCGGCCCAGAAGCAAUUUGAAUGCCUCUACUUGCAAUUGGAAUUUCGAUGUAUGAGUUUGUUUUUACCCAGUUUUGGUAAAUGGACCAAAAAUUGUCCAAAGGAUUAAAAGAAUAUCUCAAAGAUAAAGCCAGGUCCAUUAAUGUUUGUCAUUUCUUGAAAAGUCACCUUUUUCUUAACAGGCUUUUUGAAUAAAUUGAUGAGAAGGCCCAAAUCAUAAAUGACCAAAUCCUUAUCUUGCACUAAAGGCCAAAAAAUUGAUAAACGUGUUUUCUAGGCUCACAUAGGAGAUUAAAGGGGAUUAUCACAUUUAAUGACGACUUGAACUUUUUCUCUCCCAACAAGAAAACAAGUCGUAUAGAAGCCACCAAAACCAGAGAAAGAUCAAAUUGCCCAUCAGUUCUUCAAGUACAAAGGGGUCAAAUCAAGAGAGCUUCACAAGGAAAACUGACGGUUCCUGCCAAAAGCCUUCCAUCAUUCCCUCUAUGAACCAGUUAAGACCAACAAUCCAGCAGCUGACCUUGAACCACAAGCCAAAGGUCUUGUCGCAGUUUCCAUCAUUACAAGCUCUUUCAUCCUCUAUAAAUAAAGAAAGUCUACUUCGGAAGAAGAAGACUCUCUCUCCAAAAUCAGACACAACGUCUCAAAAAACAUUCAAAGAUUCUCAUAAUAACAAUCUGUCUACUUCAUUUAGAUAACCGGGUGACAACUACUGCAUUUAUCCAUCGUUGCUCUGCCAUACUCAUAGUAUGAUUUUCUUUUAAAAGUAAUAUAUUUUCAAUUCUUGUAAUCACUUAACUGGAUUGAGAAGUCUCCAGUCUCUCUUUCCUUGCUUUGUAUUUUAAAGAUAAUUGAUGUAUUAAUUAAAGAAGGUUCUGUUAUUUGGUUUACACUUAAAUUAAAUAUAAGCUAAAGGAAAUUCAUCUUUAAUAAGUUCACUUAAUUACCCAAAAAUGAAUUAUGGACUAUUUUAAUACAUAGAAUUGAAUUCCCGCCUUCUUCCCUUUAUAAAAGUCCAAAAGAACCAACGUUCGGGCCCGAAAGGGAAUAGGGGCUCGAAUGAAACAGCAAAAAUAGGAGGGAUAGGAAGUUGAGUUGGGCCCGAAUUAUACCGGUGGGCUCAAAUUAACUAUUAAUCUAGCCCAAGGACGAUAAAGAUAUUGAAACUGGUUGUUAAAACCCGAAUAAGGUUUACUAACCACGAACUUGGUCUCUCUCUCUCUCUCUCUCUCUCUCUCUCUCUCUCUUACUUGUUCAGGUAUCGCUCAUACUUGUCAAGUUGACAUUCGUGAAGGAAAGAAUAUUGAAGUCCUCUUGAUUGAGGCAUAGAAAAGAAUCAAUCCAGGCCAGUACCCCUCUUGGAGCACAAUGGCUUGAGAAGAAGUCCAGAAAAAGACGCGCGAGUCCUUAAUCAUUCAUAAACAUCCAUACCAGAUCUAUUGGGCUGGUCAUAUACCCAAUAAUGGCACGAUUACGCAACAUCACGAAUCAGAAUUGAGAAAAGUUGACGGAUAGGCCUCUAUCAGGCCCGCUCGCUUUUGGCAAACUGAUUCAACUUUCAAUUGUGUUCAAAAAUUAAAGGAGUCCUCUUUGCGAGCCAAGAGAUACCAUCCGAUCGGAUCAUUGGUGUCGAUCCAACGAACCUCUCCAUUCCUCUUAGCAGAGUUGACCCCCGCGGGCGGCAAAAAGGAACGACGGAAGGAAAAAAGGACCAACAGAGUUAUUUACAUUUUACGGUGUGUUGUCAAAAUCACAGGCCAUCUUGAUAAUGCAGUUAUAGCAGUUGGUUCCCUUUCUAUUUGGUAAUUAACAUCUUAAUGCUAAUACCAUGGUGGCUAAUGAUAAGCUUUUGAUACCUAAUGCUAAUACCAUUCUCUUCUUUUCCUUUCGCAGCGUGAACAUUAACGGAUUUGAACUAAUGUUGUUCAUUGGAAUAAAUGUGGCAAUAAGGUGAACAAGCAUUGCAUGUUGCAUUUGAAUGAUUAUUCUCAUGUUGGUGAAUGAGUUAAUUAAGGUUUUUAAUUUCUACGAAUAAUGCAGUGUGCGUGUCUCCAGUGAGCUUGGAUCAGGACGACCAAGAGCAGCCAAAUACUCUGUCUAUGUGACAGUAUUUCAGUGUCUUCUAAUUGGGAUUUUUUUCAUGAUUGUUAUUGUUUACACCAUAAUGAACCGAGCAGACCCAGCAUCAAAGCGACUAGCACCAAGGCAGCCACGCCUUCUCCCAUGCCGAAGGAAGACACACUUUCGAGGUGCCAGACACCUGCCGAAGCUCUCAGCUGCCAAACCUAAUCUCCAGGACACGUGUCGUCACCACAACGGCUUGCAUAAAGUCCCACAUUGGAACUUUGUGCAAAGCUCCCACUUUCACUUCCCUAUAAAUAGGGAACAGUACCCAGGUAAAACCAAGAACUACUCUCCCACUUUUACUGUUACUCUGCCAGAAUUACUACUUGUAACUGACUUAGGCAUCGGAGAGCCUUCGGCCGGCACCACACCGGUGUCCGAAGCUUAACGAUUGCUUCUCCUCUUUUUACCUUCUACAGGUCUCUCACCAACCCAUUUCACCAAGGGCCUCAGCCCUCUUCUCUGCUGAAGACUCAGCACAUCUAAUCACUAAAUUGGACUCAAUAUUGGCCGGGCCAUUUUGAGCAUCAACAGUUAUCUUGAUAACCAAAGACAGUUUUUCCCUACUUUUUACAAGUGAUAAGGAUCUGCAACAAGCGGUCGCCAAGCUAGCAUAUCUUCUUGGUAUAACUAUGUUGCUCAACAGCAUCCAGCCGAUAAUAUCAGGUACCCGUUUUGACGUGUGACUAAGUUUAUGAAAUGUUAUACAAAUAAUGCCACUUCUUCUGCUGAUGCCCAUGUUUGCUUGCUUGGUUCUUGAAGGGGUUGCAAUUGGUGGUGGAUGGCAGGCACUGGUAGCUUAUAUAAACUUGGGUUGUUACUACAUUUUUGGACUUCCUCUUGGAUAUCUUCUUGGUUAUAUUGCAAAUCUGGGAGUGAUGGUAAGUUAAGAUAUCAUUUCCAAAUUCCAAGUAGGUUACUUUAAUUCAAGAGUGUUUGAUGAAUUCCUGUGAUUGAUGCAGGGACUUUGCGGGGGCAUGAUAUGUGGAACUGCUCUCCAAACCUUGCUUCUGAUGAUUGUGCUCUACAAAACCAACUGGAACAAAGAGGUAUAAUCAAUAUUUCAAUUCAUUGCAAAUCAUAAACAAUGUGAGAUUUGAAAAUAUCCACAUUGAAAUGAAUCUGCAGGUGGAGCAAGCAACAAAAUGCGUGAGGAAGUGGGGUGGUCAAGACAUCACAGCUGGGAAUGGAGCUCAAAGUACCUGAAAUUCUUUGCUCCUUCAAUGUUCAAUGUUCAAACUUUUUGUUUUGGAUGAAUAAAAUCUUCAAGUACGAGUACAAAAAAGGCAAUGAUAUAGUGAGAUUUCUAGCUUUGCCAUUUUCAGAGGCCAAUGCAUAUUCCUCUGCUCAUAAGCUUAACGGUGUCGCCGCCUGUUUUUGGACUUUGGCCAACCAUUACCAUGAUUUGAGUAGGAUAUGAGCCACGCUACACCAAGCGACGGUCCUUUUUUAUUUUUUUUUUUUUUUUGCAAUUUCAAUUAUAUUUUCAAUAAAACUUAAAAGCCCCAAAAGAUUUUGGUUACUUGUCAAAAAAUAGACUUGUGGGUUGUUUUGACAUGGUCGACAACAUCAUAUUGCAAUGAAAAAAAAAACGAAAAAGAAGAAGAAAAUGUGAAUUUGCCUUCAUCAUAAUGAAUUUCUGUCAUUCUAGAGAAUGAGAUAUUUUUGGCACAAGAAGAUGACAAAAGUAAAGACAUAAUUGCUCUGCUUCAGUCUUUCACACCACACACUGUAAAUGUGUUAACUAUAAUGGCUCCUCACCAUUCCAUCACCAUGCUUGCUAGGUAGCUAAAGUGGCUGUCAUUGCCCACAAAACAACAAAUAUUGAAAAUAAAAUUCAUGUUCUAUAAGAGCAUAUAGUACUAUUGCUCAUAAACUCUCAUAUUCAUUGGUGAGUUUGGUUUGGAGUAAAUUAAUGGAACCGUUGCUCAAAGGCAAAAGCGAAGCGGAGGCAGCUGAUGAUGACUACGCGGCAGUGAGGAGCUUUGAGGAGGCCAUGUGGGUCUCUUGGAAGGAGGCAGCCAAGCUCUGGAGAAUUGCAGCUCCAGUGGCGUUUACAACUCUGUUUUAGUACCUGGUUGUGUCUGUCACCACCAUCUUUGUGGGUCAUCUCGGAGAUCUUGAGCUCUCUGCUAUUUCCCUUUCUGUCACUGUCAUCUCUGGCAUCCCUUUCGGUUUACUGGUUUACAUCUAUUUACAUCUGCUUCUGUUUCUAUUUCUAUUUCUAUUUCUAUAUAUAUGUGUAUAUAUGUAUCAUAUGUGUUCAUGUAAAAAUGUGACUGUUUACAUGCUUAUAUUGUUUUGAGUUGUUUACUCUUAUUAAUUAAUUAUAGGGAAAGGUUUAACUUUUGAGUGAGUUCAGUUACAUUUAUUAGGUGAAUAUAUGGUCACAUUCUCCUCAGUCUUUUGGCUAUAUAUAUAUAUAUAUAUAUUGAGAGAGAGAGAGAGAGAGAGAGAGAGAGAGAGAGAGAGUAUAUAGCAUAGCAGGUUGCACGUCUCCUUUUGAUUUUCUGUUAAAUGCUCAAGGGCUGUUUGACUUGAAUAUUUGUAAUUCUGUGGCCAAUUGCAGCGGCAAUUUUUAGAAAUGUUGCUUAAGAGAUGACUUGUGUUGGAGGAAUGAAAGAGAGACUAAUUUAAUUUAGCUAUGCAUUUAUGUAUGUAGCAAGGUAUGGCAACUGCACUGGGAACGCUUUGUGGUCCGGGUCUGUAGACCCAUGGACAUUUAAAAGGUUGAGUAAAGGUUUGUUAGAGUUUUGAGCCUUUGUGCCUUUGGGUCCACCAUCUGUGCUCGCAUCCACUUUGGGUAGGGUUCAAAAAUCUCUUUUAGGUCAUGAGGGAGCCAAAAGCCUCCCAUGAUCUUUAGUCAGACAAAUACUUUAAUGGAUUCAAUUAUUUUUUGUGUUUUAAGAAAUUAUUUGAUUGCAAUCAUAAUUCAAUCAAAAAAGUCAUUAGUCAUAAAGAGUCAUUACAAUUACGGAGAAGUAAUAUAACAUCAACAUUAUGACAAUCUAAUGCACCUCCAUUAAUAAUCACGCAGAGAUGUUAAAAUUUUGAGAAAAUAUCAGAUUUAUUCAGGUCCAUUCAUUUCAGCAUUUAUUGAUGUUUAGUACCAGAGACGUGGACAAUGGAGCAUCGAUUACCAUAUCAACUUUUUAGUUUGUGUGUGUGUCUGGUGCUGAGAAAAUCUUACCAAGUUGAAGGUGAGGUGGUUGGAUUCUUGUGCUGCUGCUGUGCGGUGCAAACAAGGGAAAUAAUUACACAUGGAUACGUACGUUGACAAAUAUAUGUUCCAUUGAGCAUGUAUAAUGUAUGGUGUGGGGCUUAGCUUAGCUAUAUUUGUACCAAACAGUCCGCAUUUCAAAUGGGAGGAGGAAACUUCGAUGUCUCAAGAGCGAUUGGUAGGUGGGCGAGAGAGUGGUGGUUCAAAACUUCAUUGCUUGGUUUUUGAAAUUACAUUGGAAAAUUUGAAUGGUGGGCUUUGAGUUUACGUUAGUCUAGCUAAAUCCAAGACCAUUCUUUGUCAAAUCUAUUGUAAUUAUUAACCAUCCAUAUCCCUUGGACGUUCUUUGAUAUUUGCAAACCUUCUGAGUUGUGACACUGACAUUCACCAAUGAUGAGUGAGAGCCACGUUCUUUGAUAUUUGCAAAAUUGGAGCAAGACGAGCUCAUGCAAAGCAUAGCUUACCUAAUUUGAUUUUUCUUUCUUCUAGAUUAAAAUUAACAAUACUUUGCAAAGUUUUCCACAAGCCGUGCAGAUUUUUUUUAUAGUACAAAGUCUACAUUACAAGAGGAAUGAGGAAGGGAAGUUUCACACACAUUAUUAACAGGAACGGACCUAGAAUUUCAAAAUAUGGUGGACUAAAUUUACCUUACUUACAAAACCUAAUUGUAAAUCCGUAAUUGAUAAUUCAUAACACUGAAUUGAAAAUCCCUAAUUUAUACUUCUUGAACCUUAAAAAAUCCCCAAAUUUUAGUAAUAAUAAUAAUUUAUACUUCUUGAACCUUAAAAUGACCCACCAAGAAAAUUGAACGUUUGAAGGGCUGAUGCAUGAAGUGGGGUAGGCUGUAGGGUGGGCUACAUGUGACUUUGGGCUGGAAAAUAAUAAAAGCCACCUAAGCUAUAACUCAAGUUAACCUGUGAUUGAGUCCAUCUCUGAUUGUUAAGGUGUUAUAAGGAUUCAGACUUGAGACUAAUAAUAUACAAAUCAAAGUCUUUUUACACAAACCGUGCAGAAUUUAUUAAUUAGUUCCUAAGCAAGCCUUGAUAUAUAGAUUCACUUGGAUUUAAAUAGGUUGCAGUCCAGCACUAAUUGGGAUUGUUUCUUUUUCCAUUAAUUAACAAAGUACAAAAAAACAAAAUAAAUUACACUCGAAAUAAAGUAAUAUUUUAAGUCAAAGCAAAGGAGUAAAAGUCAAAGAAGAAGUAUAUAAGUAUGGGACUUCAUUCUCCCGACGUCACAUAACCAAAACCAAACCAAACCAAAACCCAACACACACCACACCACCCAGCCUUAGCACCGUCGGAUUCAUCUCCGGCCGCCAGCUAGCUCCCUCCCACUUCAUAUCAGGGCCGUGCACGCGUUCCUGCAGUAUUUAAUUCAUAUGGAGGCGCCACUGCUUCCGGCAGUGAACGGCGGCGAUGUUCGAGACUAUGAGCCGGUGACGAGCUGGAAGGAUGCUCGGUCGGUGACGUGGAGAGAGACUCAGAAGUUGUGGAAAAUAGGAGGGCCCAUCGCCUUCACAAUCAUCUGCAACUUUGGGACCAACUCUGUUUCCACCAUGUUCGUCGGACACCUCGGAAACCUUCAGCUCUCUGCCGUCUCAAUCUCACUCUCUGUGAUCUCAACCUUCUCUUUCGGCUUCUUGGUAAAUUAGCUCUAGCCACCAUUUCAUUUAUUAAUUCCAUGCAUUUAAUUCACAUACCAUAAUUCAUAUAUAAUUAAUGGGGUGCACGCAACGCGCAUGUCGUCAAUUUACAUAUAGCCUAGGUGGGGUGAGAUUUAAUAACUCUUGUCUUUUUCUACUUGAGUUAUGUUUUUAUGAUUUGGGUUUCUUAUGUUGCACUUGUCUUCUUCUUCAUGCUUUUCUUUUAUCUGUUUUUUUGGGAGACUUUGGAAAAGGCUAAAAGAGUGAGAAAUUUUUUAAAAGAAGCCAAAAUGGACAAAAUUGCCCUUAUUUAUUUUUGGAUUUCUUAAGGAAUCCUUUAUAUUUGCAUGUCUUUAAUUUAAAAGUUGAGAAGUUUUUCUGUCUUUUUUGAAAAAGUUUUGGCUUUUUUCAAAAGUGAAAGUUUUUUUGUAACUAAAACCUAAAUUUAUUUUUUUGUUUUUAGUGUGUGUUAGGUAUUCCUCAGUUUUCAAAAUAUUCUGCAUUUUUAUUUAUUUAUAUAUUAAAAUGGUUAAAUGUAUAUACUUUCUGUGAAUUAGACGGCACACACCUUUCCAGUCUCAGAGACUGACUAAAGUUGAGUGGAGAGUUUUUCUAUGUUUCUUAUUGGAAGUUGUAGUCUUUGAAUCAUACUCUGUUUCACAGUUGAGAAAAGCUCGGAAAUGAUAAGAGAUUUUGUAUGAGAGAGAGAGAGAGAGAGGAUAAUGAGCCCAAAAUAUUUGAAAAAUCAACCCAAUUAUCCUAAUGGAUUAGCCUUUGUAUUUUGGAUAAACCAUAUUAACUAACGGUGAAAAAUCAAAUUUAAUUUAACCAAUUUUUUUUAAAAUCGAAAUCUAAUUAAAAGGAACACUCAAAACUCUGUCUUUCCCCCCUUUGAAUUAUUCUAAUGGGUUGUCUUACUAAUAUGGAAUUAUGUAUGUAUGUAUGUAUGUAUGCAUGCAUGCAUGCAUAUGAUAGAUCAUUCAGAUCAAAUGCAUGAUUGAUUGAUUGGUAUGCAGUAUCGACUAUGUAUGUAGCUUAGCAGCAAAACCUAUGUCAUGGAAUUGAAGGAGCUAAAUUUGAUAAUUUGUACAAACUUGUAGCUCGGCAUGGGAAGUGCAUUAGAGACGCUUUGUGGUCAAGCAUUUGGUGCUGGAAGGGUUAACAUGCUUGGAGUGUACAUGCAAAGGUCAUGGAUCAUUCUAUUUACCAGCUGUGUCAUCCUCACGCCACUCUACGUUUUCUCUGCCCCGAUUUUAAAGCUUCUUGGGCAGGACGAAGAAGUGGCUGACCUUGCUGGAACCUUCACCAUAUAUGUCAUUCCUCAGUUAUUCUCACUUGCCAUCACGUUCCCUUCCCAAAAGUUCCUUCAGGCACAAAGCAAGGUUGCUGUUCUUGCAUGGAUUGGUUUUCUGGCCCUUAUUAUACACAUUGGAUGGCUCUUUCUCUUCAUUUACGUGUUGGAUUGGGGCAUCUAUGGUGCAGCUCUAGCAUUUGACAUCACAGGUUGGGAACUUGCGAUUUGUCAAGUUAUUUAUAUAAUCGGUUGGUGCAAUGAAGGGUGGAGUGGUUUUUCAUGGUUAGCUUUCAAAGACAUCUGGGCCUUUGUAAGGCUCUCACUCGAAUCAGCUAUCAUGCUUUGCCUUGAGAUUUGGUAUAUGAUGAGUAUAAUCAUUCUUACUGGACAUCUUGGCAAUGCUGUGAUUUCUCUUGAUUCACUUUCUAUCUGGUAAGGACCCAACUUCCUCCUUUUUGUUCUUGCAACCACUUUCUACUUCUGCUGCUGAUCCUUUGUUUUUUUUUCUUUUUCCUUCUUAGAUUAGAUGGUUUAUGUACAUUUCCGCAUUCAAAUUAUGAUGUUUUUUCUUGGAUUUUUACUCAAUCAAUUGGCAUUGCAGCAUGAAUCUCAAUGGAUGGGAAGCAAUGUUGUUCAUUGGAAUUAAUGCUGCAGUAAGGUAAGUACCAAGACUACUUUUAUCAUUUGGUGUACUUUGUAUGUCAUUGUCAUCAUACACAAACAACACUUUUUGAGGCAACAACGAUGUUGUGCUUACAAUUAUCCCUGCCGCUGAUUUUUCAGUGUUCGAGUUUCCAAUGAACUUGGAUUGGGACGUCCAAGAGCAGCUAAAUACGCUGUCUGCGUGACAGUCCUUGAGUCUCUGCUCAUUGGGAUUGUUUGCAUGAUUGUCAUCUUGAUAACCAAAGACUACUUUUCUGUCAUCUUCACAAGCGACGCGGAAUUGCAACAAGCUGUUGCUAAGCUAGCAUUUCUUCUUGGAAUUACCAUGGUUCUUAAUAGUGUCCAACCCGUCAUUUCGGGUAUCAAUCGAGUCACUUGGCUUUUCCUCAGUUCCCUUUCUGUAUACAGGACUCUUCCCCCUUUUAAUUUUUACUGGAUUCAUGACUUCAGGUGUUGCUAUUGGAGGCGGAUGGCAAGGACUGGUGGCUUAUAUCAACUUGGGUUGUUAUUACAUUUUUGGCCUCCCACUUGGAUUCCUUCUUGGUUAUAAAGCAAACUGGGGAGUUAAGGUAAAACAUUUUCAGUCUCAGUUCCACAGCUAAAUGUUUGUGAGAUUCUUUCGUCUUCACGGUCUCUAAUCUGUGUUUUGUCCAGCUAGUUUUAAUACCAACAUUUGUUCAUUAUUUUAGGGAAUUUGGGGAGGUAUGAUAUGUGGAACUGCUCUUCAAACGUUGCUUCUCUUGAUAGUGCUUUAUAGAACCAACUGGAACAAGGAGGUCAGUUAAAUCUGUUAUAGGAAUCCAUAUGGUCCUUCAGUUUACUUUAUAACUGAUCACCAACAAGGAUUUUCAUUUACUUAUGUCUUCAGCAUUCUUGUUUAAAAGACAAUAAUCAUAAUCUUUUUUCUUGGCACAGGUUGAACAAUCUUCGGAGCGAAUGAAGAAGUGGGGUGGACAAAACGUUGAAUAUGAGAAGAUAGCUGACAACCAUAUAUGAACUUGAUCCUAAAAGAAAUUCACAUCAUGUUUCUCCUCCGACAAGAUAUCCUGAGUAACUAAAAUCUCCCUGCUUAUAUUGGCCUGAAUUUCUCUGGAAGUCAUGUUUUAGAGUUGCAGGGUGCUCUUCCAAAUUUUGUGUUGACAAUUUUAAACCAGCUUGAUUUGUUCCCGGCAGGAGAUUUUACCUCCCUGUCAGUAGUACAGAAUUUAAUUUACCUAUCAAUUUGAUUCAACUGGUUUGAUCUGAUUUCCCCUUUUCAGGGUUCUCUUUCAUAAUCAAUAGUUUAUGUUAAUUUUGGUACUAAAAGUCACUAUCUCUAAGAUCAAUAUGCAUAAGUUUAUUGUUAGAAUAGUAGCAAACAAGGGCUUGCAAAGGAGCAACAACAGAAAAAGAAACCAUAAUGCUAAAAACUAGCUUUCUCGGAGAUUCUCCAAUAAGUAUUUUAUGUUAAGUAUUCGUUACAUGCUUCUAAUCUUGGUCGUUGAAUUGUAUUCAUUAAAUAUGUUGAUAGUAUUUUAAAUGCAAUCCUACGGCCAUGCAGAAUUUAUUAAUUAGUUACUAAACAAGCCUUGAUAUAAUUAUACAUAGAUACACUUAGAUUUAAAUAGGUUGCAGUCUGGCACUAAUUGGGAAUGUUUCUUUUUCCAUUAAUUAACAAAGUAAAAAAAACAAAAUAAAUUACAGUCGAAAUACAGUAAUAUUUUAAGUCAAAGCAAAGAAGUAAAAGUCAAAGACAAAUUGGAACUAUAUAAAUAUGGGACUUCAUUCUCACCAAGUCACACGACCAAAACCAAACCAAACCAAAACCCAACACACACCAUCCCAGUUCACAACACCACCACCCAGUCUUAUCACCGUCGGAUUCAUCUCCGGACGCUAGCUAGCUCCCUCCCACUUCAUAUCAGGGCCGUGCACGACUUUAUGGCCAUAGAUGGAAAUAGACACAGAGAAGAAGACGGAGACAGAGGGAAGAGAAAAGAAGAAGAAGAAGGAAAAGAGAGAGAGUUUUCAAUUUUUAUUUUAUGACUAUUAUUUCAAUUUUCAAUUUUUUAUUUUAUUUUUUAUUUUUUAUUUAUUUUUAACGUACAAAAUGACUAUUUUACCCUCAUAUUUAACAGCAAAUUGGAUGAAAUGUUGCGAAUUUAGUACCCGUUUGGCAUUGCUUAUUUGGGGUAAUAAGUGAUUUUAAAAAAAUUUCGGGAAGCCCAACCUUGUUUGGUAACCUAUAAGAAAAUCACUUAUUUUUAAAAAUUGUUGUCAGAGAAAGUAAUAAAUGAAAGCAGCUAAUGACCUGCUUUCAUUUUCUGAUUAUACGGUAAUCAGAUUUGAGAAGCGCUGGGUUUUAAUGAACUUUACAAACUUCCGAAAAUACCCCAAUCUAUUUUCACGCUCUCUCUUCCUCCUUCCCUCACAUCAUGUUGCUUCUUCUCACAAUCUCUUCACAUAGCCCACUCCUCUCCUUCUCUUCCAUUAUGCCUACAGUUUUUUCUUGUUGGAUCAAUUGAAGCGCACUGCUGAGCCACAAGACUCAGGUAAGAGAUGCAUAUUAUGUUUAUUUCUUUUCAAUUUCAAUCGUCCCUCUUUCUCUUUAAUUUCUAGGGUUUUAACUAUCUUCCCAAAUGGAAAAAUGUCAUUCUCAUGCCAAUACGUGAUAUAGAAAACCAACAGCAAAAACGCACUUGGAAAAACAUCCCUGUUGUCUUUGUCUGUUGCUCUGUUACUGUUUGUCUCGCUUGCUCUGUUACUGUUUGUCUCACUUGCAAAAAAUAUCACAUCCUUCCUCACUUACUCACUCUUUCUCUUGUUGUUUCUCUCUAUUUGGGCAAAUAGAUUUCGAGGGGGUCAAACCUCCAAAGCAUAAAGCUCUUAUUUUUACUUGGAAUUUUCUAUAUUACCUUGGUCAUAACCUUCAAAGCAUAAAGCUCUAAAGAACCUCUUGGUGGUUUUAAAUAUUUUUAUAUUUCACUGUACUUGAAAUGCUUGCAUUUGUGUUAAUAUGAUAGAUUUUGUUAUGGUCUUGUUUUGUUUCUCUUCCUAAUCUCUGUAUCCUGAAAAACUAUUAUUGAUUCAUUGGUUAUGUUUUCAGUUUGAAAUUUUGGGUUCUAGAUGAAUUUUUAUAUCAGUAGUGAGCCACUGUUAUUUGGUAUCUUAUUGAGUUGCAAGUUGGUUAGGUGAAUUCUUUUUAUUAGUUUGGAGAUAGAGAUAAAGAAAGUGAAGUGUUGCCAGUUCAAGAGGCUUUCUAUUUCUGGUACUGUUAAUUACAGAAGAGUUUUGGUAUUUCCAAACUAAUUCAUGUACCUUAGUUAAUGUAGGGGUCCAUACAAACUUUCCUGGUGAAUAUCAGCUUCACAAGCCUGAACAAUUGAAAUAUUUCUAUCCCAAGCAUUUCCCUAUAUGUUAUAUAUAAUAUUUGAUUGAAAGAUAUUUGGGUCAUUAAUAGUUAAUGUGCUUUGAUCAUAUCGUUGAAACAUUUGAGGAAAGCUUGUUUUAUUUUCAUGUGUGUCUGAGGGGGGAAGAAAGCUGUGUUAUGAAAAUUUUAUUGUGAUGGCAACCUUUUGGUUUAUUUUGUAGAGUUGAAUGACAAAGCCUUUGAACAGUAAGUGGUAGUUUGGGGCUGGGAUUACUUGAGGUGUAUAGUUCAACUUUGGACAUUUUUGUAGGCAUUUCAAAUCAUAGUGACUUUCAACCCUAAAUCCUAAAAUGGUAGUGACUUUGUUCGGUGUUGUUUCUUGUUUUAGGGGCUAGUUUCCACAAGCAGUGUAAAUAAAAACUUGGAUAUUUAUGAAAUACUCUGUAUUUCGUAUCCUAAAAAAACAAAAUGAUUGAAGGAGAGUAUGAGACUUUUGGAAAUGAAAGUCGUUGCCAUAAUAUGUUUAGGAUGGAUAAAGAUGUAUUUACAUGAUUGUGUGAUGAAUUGCAAAACAAUUAUGGAUUAAAGGGUUCAAGAAGAAUGAGUGUUGCUGAGAUGUUAGGGAUGUUCUUGAACAUCUUAGGACAUGGAUCUGCAAUUAGGCAAGCACAAGAUCGCUUUCAACAUUCUGGUGAGACUGUGAGCAGAUAUUUUAGUAUCUUACUUGAUGUUGUAUGUCGUUUAGCUGUGGAUGUAAUUAAACCAUUGGAAAAUGAGUUUAACAACACUCCAAAGGAAAUCUUACAGGAUUCUAGAUAUAUGCCUCAUUUCAAGGUAACUAUUGCAUCUACUAUUAAAUAUUUGUCUAUGUUUUAUAAUGUUAUAAUUAAUAUUAUGUUUGUCUUUUUAUCACUUGUAGGAUUGUAUUGGUGCUAUAGAUGAUGUUCAUGUGCAAGCUGUAGUAUCUCCUUCUAAUCAAAUACCAUUUAUUGGUAAAAAGGGGAUACCUACCCAAAAUGUGAUGUCUGCAUGCAAUUUUGACAUGCAAUUUGUAUUUGCAUGUGCCGGAUGAGAAGGCACGGCCCAUGACACAAGGAUAUUUCUAUCGACUUUACGUGAUCAAAGUUUGAAUUUUCCUAAACCUCCAAAUGGUACUAUUUCUAUCUAAAGAAAAAGAAAUUCAUAUAAUUUAUAUUUAAAUUUUUUUACAUUGUGAAUAAUCUAUUAAAUUUUUUUAAGGAAAAUUUUAUCUAGUAGAUGCGGGAUACCCACAAAUGAGAGGCUACUUAGGACCAUAUAAAGGUGAAAGAUAUCAUCUUCCUGAUUUUCGUAGGGGUGUUCAACCGAUGGGUCAUAAAGAGGUAUUUAAUCAUGCACACUCUUCCCUGAGAAGUGUUAUUGAACGCACUUUUGGAGUAUGGAAAAAGAGAUAGAGUAUUUUACGCGACAUGCCUAGUUAUCCUAUUGCAAAACAAGUCAAAAUAGUUAUUGCAACCAUGGCACUUCAUAACUAUAUAAGAAGACAUGCCAAACGUUAUUGUCAUUUUGAUGAAAGUGAAGAUGACCUAAAUGGUACUCAAGAUGAAGAGAUUGAGAAAGAGGUUGAUGCACAACAAGAAAAUGGUCAUGUAACACAAGAAAUGGAGGCAUUGAGAAAUCAUAUAGCAGCAAGUUUAAUGAGUUCAUCUGGUUAGAAAUGUAUAUGAUUGCUUGUUUAUGACUAGUUUAAUUUUUGUUAUGACCAUAUUAUUGACAAUAUAUUUAUUUUUAAUUGAAUACUUUAUUUAUUUUAUAAUUAAAAUAAUUUUUACGGUGUGAUGGAAACAUAUUUAAUACAAAAAAAAUUAUAUACGUUAAAGUGAAAGUGCUUUUCCUUUUACCAAACACUUGAACAAAAAAGUCAUUUCAAUAUAAUACCAUUUUUAGUCAUUAUACACAGCUUAUAGAACUUUUACAAAAAAAUUUACCAAACACUCAAAAACUGAUUAUUGUACAAACAACACUUAUAACAAAAAGUUUACCAAACGCCAAACUGCUUUCUCUCACAGCUGAUUUCUCUCACAGCAAAUCUGACAGCGAUUAUUUUCAUAGCACAGCAAUGUCAAACUAACCCUUAGACGGCAGGGGGGAAAUUGGCCAAAAAAAAAAAGUUUAUAUCCUUAAUUUUCUAAAAAAAAAAAAGAUAGGGAGUUAAUUGAAAGUAAGGUACAAAUUCAGGGGGCAAAUCGCUAGUAUACCAAUUCUUGAAAACCGUCAACCAAGUAAAUAAAAAACAGGGCCUCUUUAUAUAUUUUGGCGAACGAAGAGAAGUUCAUUGAACAGAAAUUCAUUCCAAAAAACAGUGAAAUUGAUAACAAUUGCCAAACCACCCUACUUUGCACAUCCACCGGAGCAGGGUUUUAUGUCCCUUGAAUUCCCAAUUCAUCAACCAUUGCAGAUCGUGUUCCUAAUCGUUAAGGUCUCGGUAAAAAGGCUAACACGAGUUAAAACAAUGAGAAAAUGAUGCUUAUCGAGUCCUUUGAUGCCACGUUGACAUGAUUCCAUAUGAAUCUAAUCAAUCAUUGACACUGAAGUGGUUCCUAUAAACCAACCGUGGCCAAUUAAGUAGGCUAGCUGCAUCUCAAAGGACAAUUACUCAAAGAGCAGGAGAUAAAGAAUUGAGAGUCAUUCUUAUCUUUUGAAAAAUGGACAGAAAUUAGUUUCUUCCACUCCUCACCCAAAAUAUAAUACACUGUACCCUAACAGAACCAAUACACGCGCACAUUCUACAAAAUCAACUUUCAAGCGUAACCAAAGUUGGGAACCAUAAACAGAACAAUUCGGGCGACGCUACAGCAGGCAUUUGUUCUAAUAAGAAAGCAUAUAUAAAUCUAAUUAAAAACAGGUAGGCUGCCGAGUAGAAGAAUGAAAAAUUGAAUUUACUUCCUGCAAAAUUUUAGUAAGAUGUGGGAUACAAUUUAAACCUUACUUUAAAGACAAAAUUUCUAGGGUAGAGGACAGCAUUAGUAUUGUGCCAAAAGCAAGCUAAUGCAUAUGAGUGAUGCAGCAUCAGGUGGCUAAAAUAAUUACAUCCUCACCCGUUUCAACAUAUCAGAUCAGACAUCCUGGAUAUCUACCUUCCCUUGAUACACACCUAACAAUUCAGGUACUUCGCCAAGAUAUCUGUUCACAAAAAUCUCCAAGAACUGCUUCUCUGCCGGUUUCAGCAGAGAACCCAGAUUCAAGUUCUCAUUUAUGAAACCUUUCAACAGCAGAACUUUAACAACAGAGCACCUUGGGAUA
rnacentral:lncRNA from 1 species